UGGGGAAUAUUGCACAAUGGGCGCAAGCCUGAUGCAGCAACGCCGCGUGAACGAUGAAGGUCUUCGGAUCGUAAAGUUCUGUUGCAGGGGAAGAUAAUGACGGUACCCUGUGAGGAAGCCCCGGCUAACUACGUGCCAGCAGCCGCGGUAAUACGUAGGGGGCUAGCGUUAUCCGGAUUUACUGGGCGUAAAGGGUGCGUAGGUGGUCUUUCAAGUCGGUGGUUAAAGGCUACGGCUCAACCGUAGUUAGCCUCCGAAACUGGAAGACUUGAGUGCAGGAGAGAAAAGUGGAAUUCCUAGUGUAGCGGUGAAAUGCGUAGAGAUUAGGAGGAACACCGGUGGCGAAAGCGGCUUUUUGGCCUGCAACUGACACUGAGGCGCGAAAGCGUGGGGAGCAAACAGG
rnacentral:rRNA from 1 species